UCGAGCGCGAAAGGGGCAACCCGAGUAGAGCGGCAAACGGGUGAGUAACGCGUGGGUAAUCUGCCUUCGAGUGGGGAACAACACCGGGAAACUGGUGCUAAUACCGCAUGACAUCGUGGGGCCUUCGGGUCUGACGAUCAAAGCCGGGGACCGCAAGGCCUGGCGCUUGAAGAGGGGCCCGCGUCCGAUUAGCUAGUUGGUGGGGUAAUGGCCCACCAAGGCUACGAUCGGUAGCCGGCCUGAGAGGGCGGACGGCCACACUGGGACUGAGACACGGCCCAGACUCCUACGGGAGGCAGCAGUGGGGAAUUGUUCGCAAUGGGCGCAAGCCUGACGACGCAACGCCGCGUGGAGGAUGAAGAUCUUCGGGUCGUAAACUCCUUUCGAUCGAGACGAAUUCCUCUGGGGUGAACAAUCCCGGAGGUUGACGGUACCGAGAGAAGAAGCCCCGGCUAACUCCGUGCCAGCAGCCGCGGUAAUACGGGGGGGGCAAGCGUUGUUCGGAAUUACUGGGCGUAAAGGGCUCGUAGGUGGCCAACUAAGUCGGACGUGAAAUCCCUCGGCUUAACCGGGGAACUGCGUCCGAUACUGGUUGGCUUGAGUUUGGGAGAGGGAUGCGGAAUUCCAGGUGUAGCGGUGAAAUGCGUAGAUAUCUGGAGGAACACGGGUGGCGAAGGCGGCAUCCUGGACCAAUACUGACGCUGAGGAGCGAAAGCCAGGGGAGCAAACGGGAUUAGAUACCCCGGUAGUCCUGGCCCU
rnacentral:rRNA from 1 species